UAAUUGAAUAAUUUAACGAUUUCCCUUUCCUAUUUGAUAUUGAUUAGCUCACCAAUCCAUAUAUAAUGGAACUCUAGUCGCUUUUCUGAUUGAUAUAUAAAAUAAUAGAAUUAGGAAAUCUUCUAUUUACUAUUCACUGAAUAAUAACUUUUUUGUUGACAAAAGAAUAAAGAUCAUUUCUAUUCCAAGGUGGGGAGUUUUAUUUUCCCCAUCGACCUA
rnacentral:sRNA from 1 species